rnacentral:rRNA from 1 species
ACGGCUCAGUAACACGUGGACAACCUACCCUGAGGUCGGGGAUAAACCCGGGAAACUGGGUAUAAUACCCGAUAGAUCUAGAUCGCUGGAAUGCUUUUAGGUCUAAAGUUCCGACGCCUCAGGAUGGGUCUGCGGCCUAUCAGGGUAGUAGUGGGUGUAAAGUACCUACUAGCCUACGACGGGUACGGGUUGUGAGAGCAAGAGCCCGGAGAUGGAUUCUGAGACACGAAUCCAGGCCCUACGGGGUGCAGCAGGCGCGAAACCUUUACAAUGCUGGCAACAGCGAUAAGGGGACCUCGAGUGCUACGAUACAAUCGUGGCUGUCUAGUUGCCUAAAAAGCAAUUGAUAGCAAGGGCCGGGCAAGACCGGUGCCAGCCGCCGCGGUAACACCGGCGGCUCGAGUGGUAACCGCUAUUAUUGGGUCUAAAGGGUCUGUAGCCGGCUUAGUUAGUCUCUUGAGAAAUCUGGCCGCUCAACGGUCAGGCGUUCAGGGGAUACUGCUAAAGCUCGAGACCGGGAGAGGUGAGAGGUACUUCAGGGGUAGGGGUGAAAUCUUGUAAUCCUUGAAGGACCACCAGUGGCGAAGGCGUCUCACCAGAACGGAUCUGACGGCAAGGGGCGAAAGCUAGGGGCACGAACCGGAUUAGAUACCCGGGUAGUCCUAGCCGUAAACGAUACUCGCUAGGUGUCGGCCACGGUGCGACCGUGGUCGGUGCCGUAGGGAAGCCGUGAAGCGAGCCACCUGGGAAGUACGGCCGCAAGGCUGAAACUUAAAGGAAUUGGCGGGGGAGCAC